UUCUCUCAAGCUACAACAGAUUUUCGAUGCAGAUCUGGGGUUUUCUCUUGAGCAAUUAGCAGAUUAUCUACGACCACAUCUACUCAUACGGUCAGCCGCCUUUUGGACUUGAUAUUUCACAGUCUGUAUAGCCACAAGCAAGUAUUUCUCCGGGAGCUUGUAAGAAGGGCGUUUACCUUUUUUAGCGUGUUUUUUGAGGCAGUGUUAGAUGAUGGAAGCCAAGCGAAGGAGAACAACUACAUUUAUGUAAGUAUUGCUGUUGUUAUUCUUGGUACAUAUUUGUAGUAUUAUAAGUCUUAAGCUCCAUUUGGUCAUCACAUCAAUAUUUAUGAGUAUAAUUUUUUAUCAAACCAAAUGGAUCUUAAGCCCUUUUUUAACUCCGCCAAUGCAACUACUUGCAUUGCCGGUCCCAAGCCCGGGUAAAGGAGGAGGGAGAAGGGCUUGAUUGGCAGUUACAACUGCAACCUUCCUUACUAUUCACAAUGAGGAAGUAGUCCUCAAUUGGCAGUUACAUGACUUCGAAAUCUCCUCAAUGUCUUCUUUGGGCAUGGCAGGGAGGAGGUGUGGGAAAC